ACAGAACAUUAUAUAUCAAGUUACAGAACCGUUAAUUGUAGACUUGUAAUUAUUAACCAGAACUGUUGCAAGUAUAUAAGCAAAAUUUACCAUGAUGGAUACAAUUGAAUUUAAGAAAACACUUGAUGAAAUCAUGAAUAUACUGACUAGUUGUGCAUUGGUGACCAACCCAGAUCUUAAUGAAUGCUGUAUCUGUAACAAUGAAAUCAAAGAAAAUGAAAGUGAUGCAAGAUGUGACUGUUGUAGUAAGCAUUUUCAUGUGACAUGUAUGGGAUUCCCUUGUGAAGACAGACUGAGUGACCUGACAUUGAUCUGGAUUUGUUCAUUUUGUGGCAAUAACAACAUGGCUCAUCGCAUGUUUGAUCAAGUAUGCAUCCCUUCUCAUUUCAAUAGAUACGAACUUCUUGGUGAUCAUGAUGAACACUGUUACUUGGAUUUGAACCAAUCAAGGACCCUAUCAAGUACGACCAACAAAAGAAAAUGUGGCAGAUCAAAGAAGAGAUCAAGGAUUUGCGAAAGUACAGAGUUCAUGCUGGUGGCAAGAAAAAAGAAGCAAAGAACAAGAAAGGUCGAGCAAGGAACAAGAAAGAUGUUUCAGAUGGUGUACAAGAAGAUGCAGUGUUUGACAAUGACCUGGAGAAUAGAAGCUUUGAUACAGUAAAAGAUGAAGCAGUCGAGGUUUCCUGAGUUGUAACGGACACAGUGUUGUACUUCGUACUCAAAGCUGGCAAGGUGUGUACAAGCAUUGCAUGAGAUUAAGGAUUGUCGACCUGAUCCGUAUAUUGAAGUUGGAACAUUCCAUGAACCUUGCAAAGUGCUCAUUUUUUGACUGGGUUGGAGUAGGAGACAAGGUACUUCACGGUGGAAACCAUCACUCUGAAGAAGACACUCAAAUCAGAGAUCAAGCUUGAACGUGACAAUGAAACAUGCAAGUAUUUAAGUAAAGACUCUACAAAAUAAUUAAUCCAUCCUAACUUUUAUAACUUUUAUAACUUUUAUAACUUUUAUAACUUUUAUAACUUUUAAACUUUUAAACUCUUUUUUUGCCAUAAUGUCACUAUGCUUUUCUAAUUCUUUAUCAGUAAAAAUUUCGGUAUUUUAAUAAGCUGGGAAUUGCCUCGACAGAACCUUUAUUUGGUUCUUUUGCAAUUUCCAUUUCAUGUACAUUAUCUAUUUCCUUGAUUUCUUACUCUUGUCUUUACUUCUCUUUUUAAUUGUGUGUUUAAAGUUCAAUGUAUACUGUGUAUCCUACAUGUAAAUAUGUUGUCAAUGUACAAUGUUUUUCAAUGUACUUUUUUUAAUGGACUUGAAUAAAAUAAAAUUUAAUUUAAUUGAAUUGAAAGAAGAGGUUGAUAUCAUGGUUAUAUAUGGAAUAUCAAAAUGGGAAGGUUAAUGAUAAUGAAAGAAUACUAAUAUCGGGACGCAAUGCUGGAAUGUUAUUGUUUGGUAGUGAUAAUGCGUUUUAGUUGAGUAGGUUAUUCACUAUGAUGUAAGUUGUUUGAGUCAAUGAAAAUUGGAGUACGACCAGUACGAUUAAAUCAUAUUUAGUACGAUAAUAAGAGUGAAAUACGAUCUUAAAAUACAAUUUUUAAUCUUUUUUCCCCAAAAAAAACAAACACGG